UACGAAGGGGGGCUAGCGUUGCUCGGAAUUACUGGGCGUAAAGCGCACGUAGGCGGCUUUCUAAGUCGGGGGUGAAAUCCUGGAGCUCAACUCCAGAACUGCCUUCGAUACUGGAGAGCUCGAGUCCGGGAGAGGUGAGUGGAACUGCGAGUGUAGAGGUGAAAUUCGUAGAUAUUAGGAAGAACACCGGUGGCGAAGGCGGCCCACUGGAUCGGUACUGACGCUGAGGUGCGAAAGACGUGGGGAGCAAACAGG
rnacentral:rRNA from 1 species